GUAUAUUGCACCCAGUUAGCAAAAUGAUCUACAUUCGGAACAAACUCUUGGAGACAGUAGAUAAAUGCAAAUGUCCCCCAGCACCAGAGGCGAUCCUUUCUAUGGAGAAACACCAUAUACGUACAUAAUUUUGUGCCUGGAUUCUGGAAACGACCAAGGAUAAGCAACUCAAGUGAAAGACUGCCUUGGGAUGAUACAAUCAAUCCAACUGUUACCUUUAGGAUGCUUUUUGGAUGGACUAAUCUGAAGAUGCUGGCUAGCUUACACCGCCAUCAUACAGUCUAGAAGU